UUACAUGUUCUAACAACUGUACUCUUUAUUUCCAAAUGGUCUUUUAAGACAUUCUUCACAAUUGCUUUGAUACAAAUAAUUUUCUUUCUGCUUCUGCAAGACAGCAAGUAAAAUAAUAGCUUUUUUUUUUUUUUUUUUUUUUUUUUUGGUGAUAAGAGCAUCUAAAAGGGCAAAAGCUGUUCUUUUUAGUGAAACUGACCUCUUAAUGAGUAAAAACAAAAAGACCAUUUAUUGUAAGUGAUCCUCUGCCAACAGCCCCCAUGCCUGUUACCAAUUUCAAACACUUUAUGUUCCCCCUCCAGAAAAGCUUUGUACUGUUUCCCACUCAUUAGAAGAUGGCUAUUGUAAAUAGCACUUCCAACAUUAAUAUUAAAUACAGAAAGAAAUACGUUCAAACCAGGUUAUGGCUGUAAGGCAAACUGACAAAAGCCAGGAAAUUCAUAAGUUAAAUUCAGUCUGCUCAGGCUGUUGUGAAAACAAACACGGUGGAGUUAGCAAGGUGCCCAGGGUCAGUGCAAAGUGCUCGUUUCCUGGCUUUUGUCAGCCAGUGUCAAAACAUCAGCCUUACCUAAACACCAGAUUUGCUGGUUUUAGAAAUGGCCUUGCACUCGGAGACAAGGGAAAGAAGCAGGAGCCCUCCACUCACUGCUGGUGCCAAGCUGCUGGGAAGCUCUUCACCCACCCCAAUCAGCUGUGUCCUCAUGGCUGGGCUGGAGGCUCUGCAGUGAGGCUGUGUGAUGCUGGGCCUCCACCUCAUGAUCAUCACAAGCAUUCCUGGGAGCUGACAGGAAUACAGGGGGUCAGCUGAAUGCAAGCUGAGAGAAAACAGGUAGGCCACACUGCUGCACUGCCUUUGUAUCAAAGGCAGUAAUAGUCACUUUUGAUAUGGUACCACCACACCCAAAAGCAAUGAGGAAGAAUCUUAUCUGAUGAUCUGAUGAGAAGAGAAAGAGGGAGAAGUGAAGACAGCACUGCUGUACAAUGCUCCCUGCCACCAGAGUAGGAAAGAUACCACUGACUGACAACCAGACAGCAUGUGACAGCAGUGGUGAAACAAGCCCAGAGCUAGCCACAGCAUGCAAAUUCUGCUUCCUGGGAAACUGCAUGGUUUUUGAAAAUAUUUUCUUUUAAAAUCAGAACAAGCAUUUGAUGAAAAGCCAGAGCUGCACACUGCCAGUGAUACUUUUCAGGGCACUCACAGACUGCAGCUUUUGUUAUACCUGAUCUGAGGCUGGACUCAGGACCUCCAGGUGAGAGCCCUUACCACUGAGCUACUGGCUGGCUUAAGCAUGCACAAAUUCUCUCUCUUCCUGUUACCUUGCAAUGAGGAGUUAUGCAAAGACAGGCAUCAUACACAUACUCUGUUCUUAAAGUCUUUCUGUGGGCAUCUAGUUCCAACCACUGGCAGAAAACAGGAUCUUUGGUCUGGUCCAGUAAAGUCAGAUUUAUGGUCUUCCCCAUUUCAUCCUCCCCCUUUUUCCGUCACCCUCUUCUGAAGUCUCAGGCCUCGUGAGAAACAUUUCCCAGCUGAUUCAAGACAGCUGAUAAGUUUCUCAGAAAAAAAAAAAAAAAAAUCUUUUUCAACAUAUCAGUGUCUUGUUUCUCAAGACAGGAAAAUUUUCCAACUCAGCCUUAGUAGGAAAGUCCUCUGAGAAAGGCAGAAGUUUAUCCUUACACUUUUCUGAUACCAUUCAGCCUGUCAUGCAAAUAAAG
rnacentral:lncRNA from 1 species